rnacentral:tRNA from 1 species
GCCCCGAUAGCUCAAUUGGCUAGAGUAGUGGGCUUCGAACCCAAAGGUUGCAGGUUCAACUCCUGCUCGGGGCGCCA